rnacentral:tRNA from 1 species
GCAUCCGUAGCUCAGCUGGAUAGAGUGUCUGCCUCCGACGCAGAAGGUCACAGGUUCGAAUCCUGUCGGGUGCACCA